ensembl:lncRNA
GUUAUGUGGAAAAGCCUCGUGAUCCUCACAGAAAAUUUUAUUCUUAUUAGUUAUUAUUAGUAUUAAUCAACUUCAGCUUAGUGUGUUCUGAAUCAAUAUUUCACUCUUGGUGCAAACGUUUGAUUGAUACUGUAGGUAUAGAGUGUGUCUAACUAAAAAUCCAUCUUGGUCUUCUGUGUAAGGUACAGUAGGCUCGGUUCAGGGCGGCUAGUUAAAACAGUAAUGAAAAAGUAAUUUGAUUAUUUUUACUUAUUUGAUAAGCAUGUUGCUAGUUAGCGUUUAUCAGCUACCGGCCGUCGUUUUUAAUUUAACAUUUCAGAGUAAAUGAAGAUGAAUUAGCGAUUAUCUCAUUUGAUUUUUGUUUUUACAGAACAUUUGAAGAACUAGCUUGAUUAGGAGAAUGACAAAAAAAAGAAAUCGUACCACAACAAGUAAGGCUGAAAUGUCUACAAUUUAACUGACAUUUACAGUGUCAGGGUUUUGAAUUAAAAUCAUGAAUUCAUAUUGUGAAUACAUCGUUUUUUUCUAACUGUAAUUUUUACCCGGUAAGUAUGAUAAGAACAGAUUCUUAUUCAGAGCAAUGACCUGAGAGCAGUUAUGAUUAUGAUUUUGCUCACUAACAUUUUCCUAGUUAUUGUGACCAAAACAUACCGGAAAUGAUCAAAGAUGUUGAAAUUAAAGUGAAAUAUUAACAAUCCCCAUUUUUCUUUGCAAAUGUCUUCAUCUGAAAGCAAGAGCAUACAUAUUGAUUUAUUUCCAGGUGUCACAUCAAACCAGCCUAGGUCACUCAGGCCGCGAAAGAGAACAUGCUAUGGUGAUGCGUUAGGAAAGAGUACCCCCUCUGGAGAAGCAAUGGAAGCAAAGCCCUUAAAGCUACAAAAGGACACUGUAGGAACAGUGCUGACAACUGCCUCACCUGAAAAUCCACACACCCCUCCCCUGGACUGUACCAGUGGUCCACUUCAGCAGACUCUCUCAGCGGGUGAUACCACUGUAUCGAAGCAAGAGGGCGGGGAGGGUGCUCAUAGGUUGAUGGAGUCCUCCGUUAAAGGUGACAAGGUUGUGUUAGAAAAGGUAUCGACGCUGAGGUUCCUCAGUCCCGCCCUGGACCCACCACCAACUGUAGCCAACCCUCACCCCUACACCCCGCCCUCCCUAACGUCUCAGGGGGUCAAAGCCGGGCAUCCCCGGCCCUCCCUGCCGACCUCCGAAGGGGUCAAAUUUGGGGAAUGGGAUGGUCAAACGACCAGUGCAGAAGAUCACUGUGGAGAGAAGAACACGGAGCCUAAAAUGGAGGAGAGACACUGCGAACAGCCGGAGGCCGCGGAUGAGAGAGACGGGAGACAGAAUCCACCAGUGAAAGACAGAUCCAGGGAACCACAGACGAAGAGGAGGAAGAGGAUGGGGAUGUGUGGGCUAGGAGAGAGGGAGAGGAGAUGUGGAGUGGAGGAGGAGUGGCUGCAGGAAAGAAAGACUUUGAAAGAAAAUGGGAUGGUAAUGAGGAGAGCAGAAGAGGAGGAGAUGGAGGAGGACGAGGGGCAAAGUGGCGACGGCAGUGGGGCCGGCCUUGUGGCCGUGGAGGGAACUGCAUCGAGAGCCGCGUCAUCCUCUGACCUCGCCCUCCUUUCAUCCCUCCCUCCCUCCGACCCCACAGGGGUUAACACUGAGCAGAAGGAGGGUGAGGAGGAGAAGGAGGAAGAGGAGCCCCGGCGGUCUGGCGACGAGGCCGGUCGUUUAAGCCCCGGCCGUGUGUCUGUUUCUGGGCCAGACCCGGUCGCGGAGGUCCUGGAGGUGGGACCACAGCAGCCUGUGAUGCUGGGUGACGAGGAGCUCGGCAUGAUGGGGGUUGUGGAGGACAACCAGGAGGGAGACAGGAGGGGAUAUAGUGCUACUGAUCCUCCGUCCUUCUCCAGCGGCCCUCCACCCACCCCUCUGGAGGAAGAGUCCGCGGUAGAAGUCUGGAACCUACCUAACCGGAGAGAGACGGGGUCAGAGGUCGGGGUUCAUUCCCUGGCUCGGUCAGAGGUCGGGGUUCAUUCCCCGGCUCCCAUUCUGCCUGAGGGCCGUGUCCAUAGAGCUGACAGCACCCAGGCAGAGUCAGAACACAAGGACUCCUCAGACCAACCUCUGCCCACAAAGCCGGAUCCUGGAGCGGCCCUGGGUAACCCCAGGGGGCCUGGUGACGCUGCACUGACCCCUGGUGGCCAGGAGGAGUAUAUCCAAUCAGUCCCGGUGGUUCUGUCCAGAGUGGACCAUGAAGAUGCUGUCCAUCCGCAUGGGGAAGAGGCCCGGGACUACAUAUCUGACUCUCAGCUCAACACCAUUACUCUGCUUGAGGAUGAGGAUGGACACGAAGAGGGAGAGCAUGAAGACGCCUCAGAACUGGUCUGUGGCCUGAUCAGAGAACUCUCCUCUCUAAACCGGCUCGUGAUGGCUACGGAUCGGGAGCUGGAGACUUUUCGCCGUGGAAAGAAGACCGCAAGGACCCCGACACAUCGUGUGUUCCCCCCACGACGGACUGAGAUCUAGGAUGCCCCAUUUUAGACGUGGCUUUAAUCGUCACAACGUCCCCGAAGGCUAACAAAGCCCGCACACAGUGGAAGUUAAUUUGAGACUUAUAGAUGAAAAUCAGUUUAUUAAAAACAGCGAUCCUUAUUGUCAACACAUUGAAACGCAACUUUCAUUUCUGUUAAGGGAUAUGGACGUAACCUUGUAAUUAUGCCAGUUUUACCGAUGCAUUUCUGUUGCCGUUUUAUUCCCUUGUUCCCCUAAUGCCGAGGACUUGUUAUAGUGACAUGUGAACUUUCUAAUAAAUCAAGC